rnacentral:rRNA from 1 species
CCUACGGGGGGCAGCAGUGGGGAAUAUUGCACAAUGGGCGCAAGCCUGAUGCAGCCAUGCCGCGUGUGUGAAGAAGGCCUUCGGGUUGUAAAGCACUUUCAGCGGGGAGGAAGGCGGUGAGGUUAAUAACCUCAUAGAUUGACGUUACCCGCAGAAGAAGCACCGGCUAACUCCGUGCCAGCAGCCGCGGUAAUACGGAGGGUGCAAGCGUUAAUCGGAAUUACUGGGCGUAAAGCGCACGCAGGCGGUCUGUCAAGUCGGAUGUGAAAUCCCCGGGCUCAACCUGGGAACUGCAUUCGAAACUGGCAGGCUAGAGUCUUGUAGAGGGGGGUAGAAUUCCAGGUGUAGUGGUGAAAUGCGUAGAGAUCUGGAGGAAUACCGGUGGCGAAGGCGGCCCCCUGGACAAAGACUGACGCUCAGGUGCGAAAGCGUGGGGAGCAAACAGGAUUAGAUACCCCAGUAGUC